rnacentral:misc_RNA from 1 species
UGAGGUUUAAAAUUGCUUUUUGAAAAAGUUUCAUUUUAGAUGUUGAAAAUCAGUUUAAAACUAACUUUUAGCUGUUUUGGAUUUUUCCUGAUGUCAAAUCUAUCUACCUUAAAAACUAAUUUUAAUGGAUUUUAAUUGAGAUAGUACUUUUAUGAAUAGCAGUUUUAGCAGCAAUGUUGAACAAAUUUUAAGUAGUUUUGAACCUUUUGAUCAUAGCAAAUUAUACAGAAAAUGGUGUUGGUCUCCUCCUUUUUCUCUGUGAUGCAAAUUUUGGGUUCUAAAUUGUUUUUGUCAUAUCAAUUAGAAGUAACAUGAAUUGUGUAGAACGGUAAACAUAACCACUGGCAUAUGAUGAUUUAAAUGUAUUUUUCCACCUCACUAGAUAGGCAUGCUUGAAAACCUCAAAAAGCAAGAAUUUAAUCCAAUGAAAUUUUAUUUGGAUAGUUUUCUUGUAUAGAAAGCACAUGAUUCUAGAACUUAAUUCUUUCAACUUUCUAUUUAAUUUUAAAGAUUUGGAAAUCGUGCCAAAAGUGGCGUACACUUACAAAAAUUUAAUUCAUUUAAUGGGGCCCACUAUUGAAAAUCCAAGGUACCCUAGCUAAACAAAUUUAUUUCCUUAUAAACAAGCGUGAAGUAGGAAAUUAAGUGUAAUGAUUUUAAUUUUUUAUCUUUCCAAACAGUAGAAUUCAAUGAAUUCUGUCACUUUAUAUUAUUCUAAAUGCAUGAAUUAUAUUG